CAAGUAUGUGUAGAUCAAAAAUCCAAAAUAUCAGAAUUACUGUCCUUUUCAAAUGGGUAUAGCCCUACUUUUAAAUAACUAUUUUUUCGUCAGUUGUUCCGGUAAGACGGUCCACGUGCUGAUAGUAUAGUGCAAUAAAUUGUGCGUGUCAACCACCAAACGUCACGAUUAGCCCAGUCGACCUCGCAAUUUUUACGUUCGGUUAUAGCAGUAGUUGUCACUUUAAAUGAAUGAUCCCCCUUCUCGCCACCGAUUUUCCUAUACAUUAGGGACUCGAGUCC